rnacentral:tRNA from 1 species
GGGCCGUUAGCUCAACUAGGCAGAGCACCUGACUCUUAAUCAGAUGGUUCCGCGUUCGAUUCGCGGACGGCCCAUCA